rnacentral:rRNA from 1 species
UACAGAGGGGGCAAGCGUUGUUCGGAAUUACUGGGCGUAAAGGGCGCGUAGGCGGCCCGCUAAGUCGAACGUGAAAUCCCCGGGCUCAACCCGGGAACUGCGUCCGAUACUGGUGGGCUCGAAUCCGGGAGAGGGAUGCGGAAUUCCAGGUGUAGCGGUGAAAUGCGUAGAUAUCUGGAGGAACACCGGUGGCGAAGGCGGCCUUCUGGACAGUGACUGACGCUGAGACGCGAAAGCGUGGGGAGCGAACGAGG